rnacentral:rRNA from 1 species
AGAGUUUGAUCAUGGCUCAGAUUGAACGCUGGCGGCAUGCCUAACACAUGCAAGUCGAACGGUAACAGGUCUUCGGAUGCUGACGAGUGGCGGACGGGUGAGUAAUGCGUAGGAAUCUGUCUUUUAGUGGGGGACAACCCAGGGAAACUUGGGCUAAUACCGCAUGAGCCCUGAGGGGGAAAGCGGGGGAUCUUCGGACCUCGCGCUAAGGGAGGAGCCUACGUCUGAUUAGCUAGUUGGUAGGGUAAAGGCCUACCAAGGCGACGAUCAGUAGCUGGUCUGAGAGGACGACCAGCCACACUGGGACUGAGACACGGCCCAGACUCCUACGGGAGGCAGCAGUGGGGAAUUUUUCGCAAUGGGGGCAACCCUGACGAAGCAAUGCCGCGUGGAUGAAGAAGGCCUUCGGGUUGUAAAGUCCUUUCGUGGAGGACGAAAAGGCGGGCUCUAAUACAAUCUGCUGUUGACGUGAAUCCAAGAAGAAGCACCGGCUAACUCCGUGCCAGCAGCCGCGGUAAUACGGGGGGUGCAAGCGUUAAUCGGAAUCACUGGGCGUAAAGGGUGCGUAGGCGGUACGUUAGGUCUGUCGUGAAAUCCCCGGGCUCAACCUGGGAAUGGCGGUGGAAACCGGCGGACUAGAGUAUGGGAGAGGGUGGUGGAAUUCCAGGUGUAGCGGUGAAAUGCGUAGAGAUCUGGAGGAACAUCAGUGGCGAAGGCGGCCACCUGGCCCAAUACUGACGCUGAGGCACGAAAGCGUGGGGAGCAAACAGGGU